rnacentral:lncRNA from 1 species
CCCAAUUCUAGAGUUUGAUUUUGCUGUGAUCUUUCUAUGUGGAAAAAUCAUUCGAUGUUAGUCACCUGCUCUUCCGAAGGCAUCAUCACCUCUCGAUUUUUCUGUGCCAAGGUGGUUAUCUGUCCUAAAACGUGUAUAUGGCUUUAUGGUCAUUUAAGACAAUGAAAUCCUAGAUUAACACCAAAAUUAUGUAUGAGCAUGAUGAGUGCAUGCAUGACAUACCUCAACAGUCUGUGGUCUG